UACGUAGGUGGCGAGCGUUAUCCGGAAUGAUUGGGCGUAAAGGGUGCGUAGGCGGCCUGUUAAGUCUGAAGUGAAAGGUACCGGCUCAACCGGUACAGGCUUUGGAAACUGGCAGGCUGGAGGACAGGAGAGGGCGGUGGAACUCCAUGUGUAGCGGUAAAAUGCGUAGAUAUAUGGAAGAACACCAGUGGCGAAGGCGGCCGCCUGGCCUGUUACUGACGCUGAGGCACGAAAGCGUGGGGAGCAAA
rnacentral:rRNA from 1 species